GACAGGAUGGCCGAGUGGUUAAGGCGGUAGUUUCGAAUUCGCUCGACGAUCGAUCAGCUACUUCACUUUGUGAGCGUGAGUUCAAAUCUCACUUCUGUCG
rnacentral:tRNA from 1 species